AUUGAGUGUAACCCACCAAAAUUAAUGACUUAAUUAAGAGAGUUUCUUCCUCCAUUCACUUUCUUCUUCCUGCCUACUUCUCAUUCACCGCCUCCCUCCUCCGGCAAAGUCGCCGCCAUCAGCCACCCUCUACCCAUUUGUCUCUCAUCACGCAAGUAUGCCGGUACCUCAAUUUAACAAUCAAAUGCACAUGCCUGGGCGAAGCUUUCUCUCUCAAUUUCACAGACGAGGGUAAGUGCAAAGGUCCCCCAAAAUCCUUCCACUCCAAAAAUUCUUGUUGUCUCCCUCUCUGAACUCCAGCGAGCUCAACGCCCAAUCAAAAUCAAACCAAAACUAAAUCCCUAAAUCAAAAUCAAACUAAAUCCCAAAAUCAAAACUAAACCAAAAUCAAAAUCAAAUCAAAAUCAAAAUUGGUACAAUUGGUGACGGCGCGGCAGGCACUGCCUCGUGUUGAAUCUCCGGCGAAGGAGGGCAAAGCCGGCGUUAAGCGGCGGAGCUGGAACGGCAGUGCAAUUUCCCGGAGUCAAAGGGCAGUGGUCGUCGCUUCGUCCGUUGUGACUGCUGCUGCUACAGGUCGCAGAAGAGGGAGGGGUCGUUGUCCUCACCAAUGGUGCCGCCAUUCGAGGCGACGUCGGAAGGCAGGAGGCAGUGGCAGACAUAAAGCUCUUUAGUAGAGAGAGAGAAGCGAUAGAUGAGAAAGAGAGUCAGAGGGUGAAAGAGGGGGAGACAGAGAGAGAUGCGAGAGGGUGAGGAGACGGUGGUCGUGGCGCAACAGCGGUGCCACCGUCGACCGGAGGGUGCAGACGAGAGGGAGAGGGUGCAGCGCUAUGUAUCUGCGUGAUGUGUGUGUG
rnacentral:lncRNA from 1 species